UCCCUGGUGGCUCAGAGGGUAAAGAGCCUGCCUGUAAUGCAGGAGGCCUGGGUUCGAUCCCAGGGUUGGGAU
rfam:Ovis aries breed Texel chromosome 1, whole genome shotgun sequence.